UUAGGAAACAAUGAAGAAAUCACAAGCAAACUAAACAAUUGAACAAAGAGAAAGUUUACACACAUGAUUGUUGUAUUUGUUUAUAUAAGAAUAUAAAUUAGAACAACUCUGUUGUCUCUUAACACAAAAGAUUGUUUGUUAAGGCCAGUACUCUCAUAGAGCUAGGAACCUUUAUGAAAUUUGAGUUAUGAUUCUUUUGAUUUUGAACUACCAAAACUUAUGUUUAUCCUUCAGUAGAUUCAGAAGGUAGACGGCUGCAGCCUACAGGACAACGGAUGGGUGAGAACUGAGAACUGCAUCCUCCAGUUCUACAAGAACAUAACUGUUUCCUUAUAGUGAAAAUGUUUCACGUCGGGAAGUCUACAGCGUACAACAAAAUAAAGACCGUGUUACCAAGUUUGUUCAUGACAUAUCAUCUAUCUAGUCUUGUACAAUUAUUGCAUAUAAACGAGAGAAAGGGAAAAUAUCUUAGAAACACACCAAACACUAACGGACAAGAAGCUCUAAAAUUACAGAGCCUGUAAACUAAAACGUCCAAAUAUUUCGCGAAACAAAACAGGCAAAAGGUUUUUUUAGAUCAAAGCAGCAAAGUUUGACCUAACUAACGAGCAUCCCAAGGCAUACGUCUAUAUCAACAAAUCUACAGAGUACAUCCAGGAUUGCAUAAUCUACAGAGUACAUCCAGGAUUGCAUAAUCUACAGAGCACUUAUGGAUUUGGGGAAUCUUGUCAACUAGUUCACCGAACCACGAGAUUAAAAUGGCAAAUUUAUGUUACGGAGUAGAUGAUUCACGUAAACAUUCCCCCAAAACAAAUAUUCUAAUCCUUGCUCGUAAGAAACGAACUCAGACGAAGAACGGACCGAUCUAGAUGGUGCGCCGGCCGGCAGACCCAAAAUUCAAGGAGGUUAAUUAGUUCAGGUUUAAG
rnacentral:lncRNA from 1 species